AUUGAACGCUGGCGGCAGGCCUAACACAUGCAAGUCGAGCGGGCGGCGGACGGGUUAGUAAUGUCUGGGAAACUGCCUGAUGGAUAGGGAUAACUACUGGCAACUGUAGCUAACACCGCAUAACAGCAGCUGGGCCCAGAUGGGUUUAGCUAGUGGGUGGGGUAACGCCUCACCUAGGCGACGAUCCGUAGCUGGUAUGAGAGGAUGACCAGACACACUGGAACGGAGACACGGUCCAGACUCGUACGGGAGGAAGCAGUGGGGAAUAUUGCACAAUGGGCGAAAGCCUGAUGCAGCCAUGCCGCGUGUAUGAAGAAGGCCUUCGGAUUGUAAAGUACUUUAAGCUGGGAGGCGUUACCAGCAGAAGAAGCACCGGCUAACUUCGUGCCAGCAGCCGCGGUAAUAC
rnacentral:rRNA from 1 species